GCGGGGCUGGAACGAGCGGCGAUGCAGCCAUUGCUGGCACUACAGAGGGAGGUGGGCAAAAAGGUCGGGCGCGGGAGUCCCGCCGUCUGCAAGGCUGCCCAGGCCUUCCUUUAUUCCUAUUGGGCGCGCCGUGCUACACUUCCUGCUGCCGCCGCCGCCGCCGCCGCCGCCGCCGCUCGCCAAAGCAGGAGAGCACACACGACGACCCGCUGCAAGGCUGGUAUUUCUAGAGAUUGUUAUAUUAUUCCUGGAUUCAGAAAUAACUCCAGGCCGCCCAGGGACUGGUGUAGAGCAGGAGGGGCGAUCCUGUCUCAGGCUUCGCGCGGGUGGCAAGGCACAGGCACAGGCACCACCACCUUGGAACUCUCCCAACAGGAUUGCUACUGCCAGGGCUGUAAAGUUAGCUUGGUCCAAGACAAGCCCUGGUAUCCAUGCCAGUGUUGGCACCGGGGUCUUGGUGCCCUUUCGAGACAUGCCAGGCUUAAGAAGCAGACUUUACACAACAGCACAGUCCAUCCAAGAUCUGAAUGCCAGCGUCUUAGCGCCAGGCCGUGGCAGCUUCUGUUCUUGAGAAUCCAGUCGAGGCAAUCGGGCCACUUUGUUGCUGGCCAACAUGGUGGUCUCGUUUUGCCAUGGUGGCCCCAGCAACUGGCUGCCCUUGGCACUCGCAGGCUUGGCACUCGCAGUUACCAUGCUUCAAGUCUCCCUGCAGGGACCCAGUGCCAUGUGGUGGAUCUGCGCAGUGACACAGUGACUCAGCCCAGCCCUGAGAUGAGGCAAGCUAUGGCUCAGAUGGAAGUGGGUGAUGACUACUACGGGGAGGACCCCACAGUCAAUGAGCUGCAGAGCGUUGUGGCUGACCUCCUAGGAACGGAAGGGGCUUUGUUUGUUCCCAGUGCCACCAUGGCUAACCUCAUUGCUGUCAUGUGCCACUGUCAGAGACGAGGGGCACAGGUCCUUCUGGGGAGAGAGGCCCACAUCCAUGUUUUUACACAUGGUGGCGUUGCACAAGUGGCUGGAGUCCAUUCAGAGAUCUUGCAGGACAUGCCUGACGGGACCAUCAGUCUUGAUGAACUGGAGAAUAAGAUCCAGCAAGCCCACCAAAGCAAAUACCACCCCCGCCCUGAGCUCAUUUGCCUUGAGAACACACACAGCUCAGCUGGUGGACGGGUGCUUCCGCUUCAGUACCUGCAGGAGGUGCAUCACCUAGCCCAGCAAUAUGGGUUACGAGUACACAUGGAUGGCGCCCGCGUGCUUAAUGCUGCCGUGGCCCUGGGAGUGCCACCAACUGAUAUCUCCCAGCACUGUGACUCCAUCUCCUUGUGCCUCUCUAAGGGUGUGGGCGCACCAGCUGGGGCUCUUCUGGCUGGGAGCAGAGAGCUCAUCACCGAAGCCUGGCGUAUGCGGAAGGUCCUCGGAGGUGGGAUGCGCCAGGCAGGAGUUCUGGCAGCAGCCGGCCUGGUUGGAUUAGCCCACGUGGAGGAAACUCUGAAGAGGGACCACAACAAUGCUAGAUGUUUUGCUCAAGCUGCCUGCACCCUUGGUUCUCCUCUCUGUUCCGUGAAUCCAGCUAAAGUGGAGACCAACAUCGUCAUGGCAACGUUUGCACCCUGGCUGGCCCCUGCCAAGUUGUGUGAGCUCAUGGAAGCCGUGAGCGCCGAGGAACUUGCUGCCACAGGCCAGGCAGUGAGCGUGCGCCUCUUCCCGUGGGGCAAGCAAGGCCUGCGGGCCGUCUGGCACUGGAAUGUCUCUGCUCUUGACACACAACUGGCUGGGAACAAGUUGCGUUUUGUACUGGAGAAGUGUCAGCAGCAACACACCAACAUGGCCUGAAGCCAAGUUGCAGGCCAGACCUUAAGCCGGUGCUCGGAGCUCCAACAUGGAAUAAGCCAAAACAUACUCUGAAGUCUGGAAUAUACUAAUCUCCAAAGACUAAGAUGGACAUUUGCCGAAUCUGUACCCUUUCAACCUGUUCUCUCUCCUGUCCUCUGCAAAUGUUACCUAUAGGGGCACAUCUGCAUUACUGUAUGCGCAGCACUUCAGGAGAGUACUGGACUGCAGUUGGAUAAGCCCCUGUUAAGAGGUGGGAGGUGUCAGCAGUGGAAGAGCCAGCUGGUUUCCAGGACUGGUUCCCAAAGCCAAUAGCAUGUAUUUGUACACUCCAAAUAACCUCCACUGAAGGAGCUGCAAUCACUUCUAGACCUGGGCCUGUUCCCCUGCAUGGAAACAGGCAUUGAUUAGAGUCCUUUAUUUACCUUCAGCCUUGCUGCCUCAAGUGGGUGGUGAAAGCGGACUUCGUUUCUCAAGGAUGCUUCACUUCCGCUUAAGGGUACCUGCCAGCUGAUACCAUUAAUAAGCCACUGGAGCGCCUGUAUUGUGGCCGGAAGAAUCCAAUUUCUACUGCACAGAUGGCACCUGGGCUUCCUGCACCUCUUGAGUGUGUGAGAACUUCCGAAGGCAGCACCGUCCCCCGUUACUUCAGGGAGGGAGCAAGAUAGACAUUGGAUUUGCUCCUGCUUCGAAUAUUGUAGCCCCAGAGGAACAACUGAAGAGCACUCCAAAGUGGGCUGCUGCAUUCAGUAGCUUUGGACAUCCAGGAAGAACAAUUCGGCUGUGCCAGCUGGGCACCAACCCCACCACAUUUGCACAGCCGCUUUCACGCCUUCUGCCUUAGGUGCAGCAAGCACUGUGUUCAUCACUUAGCCAACAGAUUAAAG